rnacentral:lncRNA from 1 species
GAGGAAUCAGACAGGAUACUGCAAACAUCUCUGAACUGCACAACAACAGAAAUCAAUACAGUCCAUGGCUUAGAAUUAAUGCACCCCAUAUUGACUAAGCUCAAAACAAAACCCUAGUCCUGAGGGUCAGAAACAAAACCCUAGUCCUGAGGGUCAGAAACAAAACCCUAGUCCUGAGGGUCAGAAACAAAACCCUAGUCCUGAGGGUCAGAAACAAAACCCUAGUCCUGAGGGUCAGAAACAAAACCCUAGUUCUGAUGGUCAGAAACAAAACCCUAGUCCUGAGGGAGGAAUUAAGUCUCAUAUUAAACUGUUUCAUGGCUGCAUUAUAACAUUAAAUCAAAGCUCAUUUUAUUGGUCGCAUACACAUUUUAGCAAUGUUAUUGCAGGUGUAGUGAAAUGCUUGUGUUCCUAGCUCCAACAGUGCAGUAAUAUCUAACAAUACACAAUAAUACACACACAUCUAAAAGUAAAAUAAUGGAAUUAAGAAAUAUCUAAUUGUAACGGCUGUUGAAUGGAGUAGACCAAGGUGCAGUGUGGUUAGUGCUCAUCUUUGAAAUUUAAUGGAAAAGAGAACACUUUACAAAAUAAACAAACGACAACAGCCAAACAUUUCUGUCAGGUAACAAAUGACUAAACAGAAAAUAACCACCCACAAAACCCAAAGGAAAACAGGCUGCCUAAGUAUGGCUCCCAAUCAGCAACAACGAUAUACAGCUGUCCCUGAUUGAGAGCCAUACCCGGCUGAAACAAAGAAAUACCAAACAUAGAAAAAAGGACAUAGAAUGCCCACCCCAACUCACGCCCUGACCAACCAAAAUAGAGACAUAAAAGGAUCUCUAAGGUCAGGGCGUGACACUAAUAUUAGGACGAGCAAUAUACAGUAUAAAUAUAUAUGGGAUGGGAUGUAUAGACAUUAUGGACAGUAUGUUGAUAGAAUAUUUAGUGUAUAUGUAGAAUACGUAGGAUAGAAUAGUAAAUAUACAGCAAUAGUUGAAUAGGAUGGCCUUGACUAGAAUACAGCAUAUUGUCACGCACUUCUUUGUCUUCUGACGAUAUUGCGAAAUCGUCAUCUGAAAAGGUAGACCAAAACGCAGCAGGCAUGCGGUUGUUCAUUUUGAACAUUUAAUUAAAUCAAGAACAAUCUCCCACCAAUAACAAACACACCCUAAUAUAUGGGACUCUCAAUCAAAGGCAAAUAGACAACACCUGCCUUCAACUGAGAGUCCCAACCCCAAUUAACCAAACAUAGAAACAGACAUACUAGACUAACCAUAGAAUACAUGAAAACCAAACAGUGCCCAAAAACCCCGGAAUACUUAAAUCAAAUGCCCCUUCAACAAACACACCACCCCGAACCACAUGAAACGAAUACCCUCUGCCACGUCCUGACCAAACUACAAUACCAAUUAACCUUAUACUGGCCAGGACGUGACACAUAUACAUAUGAAUAAUAACUUUCCUCCCAAAACAACUGAAACUAUUAUUUAUCAAUAUUAAAUAUUUAAAUAAGAGAGUUUUAAGGCGUCUGAAAAGGAAAUGAUGUCCUCCUCCUCACUCAUUUCGUGGGAAGUUUUCCCAGGUCACACCAGUUGAGGCCGGCCGCUCUCAGUCAUUUCUGCCUGGACGUCUCUCCAAAUAUUUCUGGGUCACCCCCUCUGUUUAUUUGGGUCCUGGGGGUUGCAUUUCAGAGACUGGCGAGUGAUGUUGCUGACUGAUUUUUAGUAGGCCUAAAAGGGCAGUAAACUAUCUGUUGAAUCUACACUGAGUGUGCCAAACAUUAAGAACACCUGCUCUUUCCAUGGCAUAGACUGACCAGGUGAAUCCUGGUGAAAGCUAUGAUGCCUUAUUGAUGUCACUUGUUAAAUCCACUUCAACCAGUGUAGAUGAAGGGGAGGAGACAGGUUAAAUAAUUAUUUUUAAGCCUUAAGACAAUUGAGACAUGAAUUGCGUAUGUGUGCCAUUCAGAAGGUGAAUGGGCAAGACAAUAUAUUUAAGUGCCAUCCAGACAACUUGACACAACUGUGGGAAGCAUUGGAGUCAACAUGGGCCAGCAUCCCUGUGGAACACAUUUUACACCUUGUGGCGUCCAUGCCAUGACAAAUUGAGGCUGUUCUGAAGGCAAAAUGGCUUCUGUCCUCCGUCCUAUUACAGAUCCGAGCAGUAGAGGUAGAAGUCUAUUCCUGCCACAGCUAGAGCUCUCACCCAAUGGGAUCAGUCUGAGCGACACUUCAACAAGAUGGAUGUUAGGCAUGGAGCUUCAAACCGAGCGUGUUGGGCCCAGACAUCAUUGGGGCCAAAAUGAGUAAAGGGUUGUAGCCCUUCUCCUGCCCCCACCUAAUACGAGGUGCUGCCUGGGUGACAGGAGCCCAUAAAUAACCAAGCUAGCGUGCCAAAGGAACACACUCACCUGAACACCGACAUGGACACAGCACAGCAGAAUGCCAUGGCAGGAGAGAACAGGGCACAAGACCGCAAUAAAUGCCCUACAUCUUUGUAAUGUCACAGGACAAGGGAGUGUGUGUGUGUGUGUGUGUGUGUGUGUGUGUGUGUGUGUGUGUGUGUGUGUGUGUGUGUGUGUGUGUGUGUGUGUGUGUGUGUGUGUGUGUGUGUGUGUGUGUGUGUGUGUGUGUGUGUGUGUGUGCGAGAGAAUGAAGAACAAACACCAUUGUAAAUACAACCCAUAUUUAUGUUUAUUUAUAUUCCCUUUUGUACUUGAACUAUUUGCACAUCGUUAUAACUCCUGAGUGGCGCAGCGGUCUAAGGCACUACAUCUCACAACCGGCUGUGAUUGGGUCCCGUAGGGCGUCGUCCAGGUUAUGGUUUAGCCGGGGUAUUGUUUAGCUGUCAUUGUAAAUAAGAAUUUGUUAACUGACUUGCCUAGUUAAAUAAAGGUUAAAUACAUUUUUUUUAAUAACACUGUACGUAGCCAUAAUAUGACAUUUGAAAUGUGUCUAUUUCUUUGACACUUGUGGGUGUAAUGUUUCCUGUUCAUUCUUGAUUGUUUAAUUCACUUUUAUUGAUUUGCUAUUUCAUUUGCUUUGGCAAUGUAAACAUUUGUUUCCCAUGCCAAUAAAGCCCUUUGAAUUGAAUUGAGAGAGAGAGAGAGAGAGAGAGAGCGAGAGAGAGAGAGAGAGAGCGAGAGAGAGAGAGAGAGAGAGAGAGAGAGAGAGAGAGAGAGAGCGAGAGAGAGAGAGAGAGAGCGAGAGAGAGAGCGAGAGAGCGAGAGAGAGAGAGAGCGAGAGAGAGAGAGAGAAAAAAGGAUUAGGCCACAGACAACACAAUUAAACUAUAUUCACAAAAUCAUUUUAUUCUUCAUUCUGAAGCUUACCCCUAAUCUCAUUAAACAUGCCUUUCAUGUCUCAAAGUAAGGUUAUCAGAGACUCAAUAUUUUGAAUGGUCAGCCUUCCCACUGGUUAAAAACUUGUUGAAGCAAAGUUGUAAUUUCAACCAAAAGAUUAUAUGUGAUCACAUUGAUUUAACGUGGGAAACUGAUUGAAUUUGCAAAAAGUAAUCAAUGUAAGUGAAUUUUGUAUUUUUUUCACCCAACUUUUAAAUUAAA